AUGCCUUUUCGUCUAAUUGAAUUUCAAGCGAGCGAGGACAUUGUUGUUGUGCCAGUUGACUGGUAUGAUGACGGGAUGGUGUACUGGCCCAGCUUUAAUAGCACUGAACGUGUGAAAAGGGCAGCUGCUAACGAGGAGAAGCAUGAGCCAAACUGGCCAAGAUAUGUUGUAAAGGUCAUCAGAACUUGUGACAACUACAAAAACACCAUUAGGCUUAGGACUCAAUAUCAGAAUGGCUGCAACAUCUCUGAGCUACAGUCUGAUGCAGAGCAGGAGGGUAAGCUGCCAGAGAAAAGAUUCAGGAAGCCAGUCCAUCGUUUUGGGGACUCUGAUGAGAGUGAAGAAGAGACAGAAAAUGGUGACUUUGCAUCUCUGAGGAUGCCACGACCUUCUUACUUGUGUAUCAGUUGA
ensembl:lncRNA